rnacentral:rRNA from 1 species
AACGAACGCUGGCGGCAUGCCUAACACAUGCAAGUCGAACGAUCCCUUCGGGGAUAGUUGCGCACCGGUGCGUAACGCGUGGUAACCUGCCCUUAGGUUCGGAAUAACUCAGAGAAAUUUGAGCUAAUACCGGAUAAUGUCUUCGGACCAAAGAUUUAUCGCCUUUGGAUGGGCCCGCGUUGGAUUAGCUAGUUGGUGGGGUACAGGCCUACCAAGGCGACGAUCCAUAGCUGGUCUGAGAGGAUGAUCAGCCACACUGGGACUGAGACACGGCCCAGACUCCUACGGGAGGCAGGAGUGGGGAAUAUUGGACAAUGGGCGAAAGCCUGAUCCAGCAAUGCCGCGUGAGUGAUGAAGGCCUUAGGGUUGUAAAGCUCUUUUACACGGGAUGAUAAUGACAGUAACGGGAGAAUAAGCCCCGGCUAACUCCGUG